UACGUAGGGUGCUGGCGUUGUUCGGAAUCACUGGGCGUAAAGCGUUCGCAGGCGGUUCUUUAAGUCAGCGGUGAAAUCCCAGGGCUCAACCUUGGAACUGCCUUUGAUACUGGGGAUCUCGAGUCCGGGAGAGGUGAGUGGAACUGCGAGUGUAGAGGUGAAAUUCGUAGAUAUUCGCAAGAACACCAGUGGCGAAGGCGGCUCACUGGCCCGGUACUGACGCUGAGGAACGAAAGCGUGGGGAGCAAACAGG
rnacentral:rRNA from 1 species